UACAGAGGUCUCAAGCGUUGUUCGGAUUCAUUGGGCGUAAAGGGUGCGUAGGCGGCGCGGUAAGUCGGGUGUGAAAUCUCGGAGCUUAACUCCGAAACUGCAUUCGAUACUGCCGUGCUUGAGGACUGGAGAGGAGACUGGAAUUUACGGUGUAGCGGUGAAAUGCGCAGAUAUCAGGAGGAACACCGGUGGCGAAGGCGGGUCUCUGGACAGUUCCUGACGCUGAGGCACGAAGGCCAGGGGAGCAAACGGG
rnacentral:rRNA from 1 species